CUGCUGCCUCCCGUAGGAGUCUGGGCCGUGUCUCAGUCCCAAUGUGGCCGGUCCGCCCUCUCAGGCCGGCUACUGAUCGUCGCCUUGGUGGGCCGUUACCCCGCCAACUGGCUAAUCAGACGCGGAUCCAUCGUAUACCGCCGGAGCCUUUCACACUGUCCCAUGCGGGACCGUGCGCUUAUGCGGUAUUAGCACCUGUUUCCAGGUGUUAUCCCCCUGUAUACGGCAGGUUAUCCACGCGUUACUCACCCGUCCGCCA
rnacentral:rRNA from 1 species